UACGUAGGGUGCAAGCGUUGUCCGGAAUUAUUGGGCGUAAAGAGCUCGUAGGCGGUUUGUCGCGUCGGCUGUGAAAGCCCGGAGCUCAACUCCGGGUCUGCAGUCGAUACGGGCAGACUUGAGUGUUGCAGGGGAGACUGGAAUUCCUGGUGUAGCGGUGAAAUGCGCAGAUAUCAGGAGGAACACCGAUGGCGAAGGCAGGUCUCUGGGCCACUACUGACGUGAGAAGCGAAAGCAUGGGGGAGCGAACAGG
rnacentral:rRNA from 1 species